AAGUCGUAACAAGGUUUCCGUAGGUGAACCUGCGGAAGGAUCAUUAACGAGAUAAUGCUACUGCUCUACUGCGGUGGAGUGUAGUCAUUAAUAAUGAUAAUAAUUUGUUGAACGAUAGUCGCUCGUUUUAGCGAAAGCUAAAAACAUAAUUAUGUUAACGAGUACGCUAGUUGGUUAAUGAUGUGCGUGCACGCUUAAUUGCGUGCAUGUACAUAGAGCGACCGAACUACUGACUGCUGCUCGGGGUACGGCCCGUAGUGUAAUGCUACGGUGAGUCGUACCUGUGUCAUUUUAAAUUUGAGUAAUAAAAUUCGCGUACGCGUGUUUAAGCGCGAGUACGUGUAGACUUGUGAAAGAGAGAAUAAUAAUAAAAUGCAUAACUGCAAACGGUGGAUCACUCGGCUCACG
rnacentral:misc_RNA from 1 species